UACGUAGGGUGCUAGAGUUGUCCGGAUUUACUGGGCGUAAAGGGUGCUCAGGCGGGCUUGUAAGUCAGAGGUGAAAUCCCAAAGCUUAACUUUGGAGCUGCCUUUGAUACUGGGGAUCUCGAGUCCGGGAGAGGUGAGUGGAACUGCGAGUGUAGAGGUGAAAUUCGUAGAUAUUCGCAAGAACACCAGUGGCGAAGGCGGCUCACUGGCCCGGAACUGACGCUGAGGUGCGAAAGCGUGGGGAGCAAACAGG
rnacentral:rRNA from 1 species